UGUUCGUCUGCCAUCUUGCUAUUUAAUGCAAUGCUUUCUGAAUAUUGAAUAGAAAGAAGUAUUUGUACAAUAUGGGCAAGGUAUAAAGAAUAUCCACACACUAGACACACAGACAGGGAGGGGCACCCACAGCAAACUCCCUUCGCCUGGGAGCAGGCACUGCGCUCAGGGCGGGGAUUUGGGAUUCACCAGGGCACGAGGCAAUGUGCCUCUGUCCUCACGGAGCCUAAGUGCUGGUGGAGACGGACAGUGCAGAUGCCAACCGCAAAUGACGAGGCACUUGCAGGUCCCAGCCCAUUCAGAGUUUUCAAGGAAGCAGCUCCCCCCACCAGGCUACUGUCACCUUCCUGGGACCUGUGAGCUCCUCAUCACCCAAGCUGGCAGAAUACCUCCAACUCAUGGCUCCGUGAAACCUGAGUGCCUGCCUCCGCUGACCGAUUCCCUGGGUGGAUUUUCUUCUGGUGGUCAGAAAAAUAUAUCAGUCUUUUCCA